UUGAGCGCUGGCGGCAUGCUUUACACAUGCAAGUCGAACGGUAACAGGCCUUCGGGUGCUGACGAGUGGCGAACGGGUGAGUAAUGCAUCGGAACGUGCCCAGAGGUGGGGGAUAACGCAGCGAAAGCUGUGCUAAUACCGCAUGUGAUCUGAGGAUGAAAGCGGGGGACCAAGCAGCAAUGUUUGGCCUCGCGCCUCUGGAGCGGCCGAUGUCAGAUUAGGUAGUUGGUGGGGUAAAGGCCUACCAAGCCGACGAUCUGUAGCUGGUCUGAGAGGACGACCAGCCACACUGGGACUGAGACACGGCCCAGACUCCUACGGGAGGCAGCAGUGGGGAAUUUUGGACAAUGGGCGCAAGCCUGAUCCAGCAAUGCCGCGUGCGGGAAGAAGGCCUUCGGGUUGUAAACCGCUUUUGUACGGAACGAAAAGGCUCUGGCUAAUACCUGGGGCUGAUGACGGUACCGUAAGAAUAAGCACCGGCUAACUACGUG
rnacentral:rRNA from 1 species